GCUCUUCGUCAGAUAGUCGCUCCGCCUAAAUGCAAAACUUUUGGCGGAGAGGAAAGUCCGAACACUCCCUUUAUCAUAAUAUGGCAAAAAUACUUGAUAAAGGAGCAGGGUAGCGGGUAACACCCGUCUGUCAGUGCUCCGCACUGGCAAGAGGUGCGAACAGAGACGAGUCCCGCCUUUGGCGGGAGUGAAACGGCUAAAUCCUUACCCGGGUGCAAGGCCGUGCCCCGCCUUUGGCGGGGAGUGCCGCUUGACCCGCCAGGUAACUGGCGAGGCAGAUAAAUGACUAUCGCCCCGCCUCUCGUGAGAGGCGGGGGACAGAAUUCGGCUUAUAGACAGAGAGCCGCC
rnacentral:RNase_P_RNA from 1 species